ACAAAAAAGCGUUCCUACAAAGGCAACUCUCUCUAAACCGUUUUUUGCCCAUGAGGUAUGGAAAUCGUCUAUUAGAAUGGAGAGUAAUUGAAAGGAAAAACUACCUUUGUUUGGUUUUUUUCCAUUUUUUUCUCGUCGGUCUUGGGUGCAGUGUCAUUCCUUCUCCGCGUUCCCUCUCUCUCCAGAGAAAAGAUCGCGGAGGUAGGCUCUGAGUGGGAUUGCAAUGAUUGGCGGGACAUUCAUUCAGAUGUAUAAUUACAGAUAUGCUCGUUGAACGUUCGCGAGUUUUUAUUUUUUAUUAUUUUUUUGGAAGCAAGGCAGAAUGUACAUGUACAGUACAUAUACAUGUAAGGAAAGGAUGGUCAUUUAUUUUCCCUUUUAUAUAAAUAAUCAGACAAGCGAAAAAAGAAAAUAUAUCGGUCGUUAUUCAAACUGUC
rnacentral:sRNA from 1 species